rnacentral:lncRNA from 1 species
UUCCAGCCUGGGUGACAGACCAAGAGCCUGUCUAAAAAAAAAACCAAAAAACAAACAAACAAAAAAACUUAAACUUUCUUGCAGAUGAGCAGUCUGUGUUAAAAAAGAAAAAAAAAAAAGAAGGAAAAAGGAUUCAACUUUCUCCCCAGCCAUUUUGGAUGACAACAUUUCCUGUCCUGCUUUGCGGUGAGGCUGAGACCAUGAGACUAGUUCUGGCUCAAGGGCUAUGAACAGAAAUGAUAUUGGGCACUCUUGGGCCAAAGCAUUUAGUGCCAUUUUAUGUCUCUCCAGCUCUCUCUUCCCCUGCUGCAGCAAUUGUGAAAGCCACGCAUUUAGAUGGUGAAGCCACAAAAUGGAAACAGCCUGGAUCCCUGAGUCACCAGAUGCAGAAACAGCUGCCCUGAAAAGUUGUCCAUCUUGCACUAUACAUGCCCAUGUACGAGAAAUACAAGCCUUUUCUGGCCGGGCGCGGUGGCUCACGCCUGUAAUCCCAGCACUUUGGGAAGCCGAGGCGGGCAGAUCAUUUGAGGUCAGGAGUUCGAGAUCAGCCUGGCCAACAUGGUGAAACCCCGUCUCUACAAAAAAUAUAAAAAUUAGCCAGGCAUGGUGGCAGGCGCUUGUAAUCCCAGCUACUCAGGUGGCUGAGGUAGGAGAAUCGCUUGAACCUGGGAGGCAGUGGUUGCAGUGAGCCGAGAUUACACCAUUGCACUCCAGCCUGGGUGAUAAGAGCAAAACUCUGUCUCAAAAAAAAAAAAAAGGCCUUUUCUGUGGUUAAGAAAUGAGAAUCAAGUUUAAGAUAUUUGAGAUUUUUCUUUUUAUUAUUUUUUUCCUUAGAGGUAAUUGUGGGGUGGAGGUGGGGGUCUUGCUAUCUUGCCCAGGCUGGACUCAAACUCCUGGGUUCAAGCAAUCCUCCAGUCUCAGCCUCCCAAGUAGCUGGGACUAUAGGUACACACUACCACACCAGUUUCUUUGAGAUUUUUGUACAUCGGGAUAUAUAGCUCAUUCUUUUUAAGAUUUGCCAAGUGUUCCAUUGUAUGACUAUAAUAUAUUUAGGAGGUACAUUUCUUUAAUUUAAAUUUUUGAAUUGAUAUUAUAUACCAUAUGGUUUUAAAUUAAAAUGGUUCAAAAAAGUA